rnacentral:rRNA from 1 species
AUUGAACGCUGGCGGCAUGCCUUACACAUGCAAGUCGAACGGCAGCACGGGAGCAAUCCUGGUGGCGAGUGGCGAACGGGUGAGUAAUAUAUCGGAACGUGCCCAGUCGUGGGGAUAACGUAGAGAAAUUUACGCUAAUACCGCAUACGAUCUAAGGAUGAAAGCGGGGGACCGUAAGGCCUCGCGCGAUUGGAGCGGCCGAUAUCAGAUUAGGUAGUUGGUGAGGUAAAGGCUCACCAAGCCGACGAUCUGUAGCUGGUCUGAGAGGACGACCAGCCACACUGGGACUGAGACACGGCCCAGACUCCUACGGGAGGCAGCAGUGAGGAAUAUUGGACAAUGGGCGCAAGCCUGAUCCAGCCAUGCCGCGUGCAGGAUGACGGUCCUAUGGAUUGUAAACUGCUUUGUACGGAACGAACGGUGAGCUCUAAUACAGUUUGCUAAUGACGGUACCGUAAGAAUAAGCA